rfam:Glycine soja cultivar W05 scaffold810_13, whole genome shotgun sequence.
UUCUAAUUGGAUGAUGACUGUCACAUGUCAUGAUCUAAUUGGAUGUCAACUCCAUGAAAGAUGAAAUGCAUUGUUGUUGUCAAUGGCCAAUCAGAUCAUGACAUGUGGCAGUCAUCAUCC